rnacentral:rRNA from 1 species
AGCAGCCGCGGUAAUUCCAGCUCCAAUAGCGUAUAUUAAAGUUGUUGCAGUUAAAAAGCUCGUAGUUGAAUUUCGGGGUUAGUAGAUUGGUCAUGCCUCUGGUAUGCACUGGUCUUACUGAUCCCUCCUUCCUGAUGAACCGUAAUGCCAUUAAUUUGGUGUUGCGGGGAAACUGGACUGUUACUUUGAAAAAAUUAGAGUGUUUAAAGCAGGCUAACGCUUGAAUACAUUAGCAUGGAAUAAUGAAAUAGGACGUUCGAUCUUAUUUUGUUGGUUUCUAGGAUUGACGUAAUGAUUAAUAGGGAUAGUUGGGGGCAUUAAUAUUCAAUUGUCAGAGGUGAAAUUCUUGGAUUUAUUGAAGACUUAACUACUGCGAAAGCAUUUGCCAAGGAUGUUUUCAUUAAUCAAGAACGAAAGUUAGGGAUCGAAGACGAUCAGAUACCGUCGUAGUCUUAACCAUAAACUAUGACCGACUAGGGAUCGGAUGAUGUUAAUUUUUANGUACUNAUUCGGCGUCCUU